CUACGGAGAAGCCUCAGGAAAGGAGCUCCAGGCUGGUGCCGUUCUUCCGGCCAGGCGGCAGGGGCGGAGCUGGUUGCUAGGAAGCGGGUUUCCACCAAUCACCUGCCCAGCUCUCAGUGGGCGGGGCGCGGCUCGCAGCGUCUGUGGUAACCCGGACAGCGGUGAAGGAAAAGGCCAGAGGCCGUGAGAGCUUUUCUGUUCCAAUAUAGAUGCCCACUGGAAUUUAUUUUCAUCCAGUUUUUUUAAUGUAAGGAGAGAAAAUGACUGCUGGUUCAGUGUGUGUCCCUCAGAUCAUACCUCUGCGAGUGCCUCAGCCCGGAAAAGCCAACCAUGAAAUUGAUAACAAUACACUUGUGGAAAUGAGAUCGGAUACCCCAGAUGUCAACAUAUAUUAUACCCUGGAUGGCAGCAAACCUGAAUUUCUGAAGAGAAUUGGUUAUGGUGAAAAUAAUACAUUUAAGUAUACGAAGCCUAUUACUCUGCCUGAUGGAAAAAUACAAGUGAAAGCUAUUGCGGUCGCUAACGACUGCAGACAGAGUGGCAUUGUAACAAAAGUAUUUCAGGUGGACUGUGAACCACCAAAUACAGUCUCUUUGGAAGACAGCGUUGAAAAUGUUCUCAAAGAUUCUUCAAAGCAGGAAUUGAAAAAUGGAUUUGUUGGAUCAAAACUAAGGAAGAAAUAUAAGAAUGCUGAAAAUAAACUGGGUUGGAAUGUUAACCUGAGAAAAUUUCCAGACCUCAACGGAGGUGAAAAAACUGACCCUAAAGCUUGGAAAGACCUUCGCUUCUCAGAGAGUCCACUGGAAACCCCAGCUUACCGUGAAGAAUCAGGUUCUAGCCCACACUUCCACCACUCCCAGUUCCCUAGUUUUGCACACAUAAUCGGCCAGAAGAGUUUGACAAGCACAGAGAUCAUGCGAAUUCAAAGGGAGACAGACUUUCUCAAGUGUGCCCACUGCCUUGCCCCCCGCCCAUCUGAUCCCUUUGCUCGCUUCUGUCAAGAAUGUGGCUCUCCUGUUCCAGCCAUAUUUGGCUGUCGUCUCCCACCCCCAGAAGGAGCUCAGAUGGGCUUAUGUGUAGAAUGCGGAAGCAUGGUGCCCAUGAACACUCCCAUCUGUGUGGUGUGUGAGGCCCCUCUUACUCUACAGCUGCAGCCACAGGCCAGCCUCCGCUUGAAGGAGAAAGUGAUUUGCCGCACCUGUGGCACAGGGAAUCCCGCUCACCUGAAAUACUGUGUCACCUGUGAGGGGGCCUUGCCUUCAUCACAAGAGUCCAUGUGCAGUGGAGCUAAAGCCCCUCCUCCGCCCACUCAGAAAGGGGAGAGCGUUUCCUGCCCCACAUGUGGUCGCCGGAGUCGCCGGGAAGCGCGCUGCUGUGACUGGCAUGGAGCCACGCCUGGCAUUCCUGCUUGCUACUCUGUUUGCCCUAAAUGUGAGGCCAGCAAUCACCCAUCUGCCCGGUUCUGUGGCUCCUGUGGUAUUUAUGUGAAGUCCUCGACCAGACUUAGUGUGGACAGCCACCUGGCUCUAGCUGCUGGAGAACCUGGCCCUUUUGCCGAGCCCCGAUCUGCCUGGCAGUCCCCAAAUGUUUCUCUCCCCAAGCCUGAUGCUGGGACCAAGAAGGAUGUAGGAACACAGACCACUGGCCUGUUCUACCCAUCUGGCAAGCUACUAGCCAAAAAGGAGCUGGAAAUGGCUUCUCAAAAGCAGAGGCAGGAGAAAAUGAGUGACCACAGACCUCUCCUCACAGCUGUCAGCCCAGGAAGAGGAUACUGGAGAAAACAGUUGGAUCACAUCUCCGCUCACCUCAGGUCUUAUGCUCAGAACAACCCUGAAUUCCGGGCCUUGAUUGCAGAACCCAGGAUGGGAAAGCUAAUCUCUGCUACUGUCCAUGAAGAUGGCUAUGAAGUCAGCAUCAGGCUGAAUUAUGUUCAAGUCUCAAACAAAAACCUUAACCUCAACAAGGCGGUGAAUUUCAGUGACCACCUUCUGAGCAGUGUCACCGAGGCGGGUAACGGGCUGUUCGGCAGCAGGUCGAGCUCCGUGAGUGACUACAGCCACAGCACCUCAGACACCACUGAAAACGUUAAGAGGACAAAGAAUUUCAAGACCAAGAAAUUUGAAGAAAAGAAGGGGCACCUUACACCUGAAAACAGGCUCCUGCUGAAGGAAGUCGGACCCACAGGGGGAGGAAGAGUCUCUGUGAUUGAACAGCUGCUUGACGAAGGAGCAGAUCCCAACUGCAGUAAUGAUGAAGAUCGACCUCUUCUCACCGUGGCUGUUAUGAAUAAGCACCAUGAAGCAAUUCCAGUUCUUGUGCAGAGAGGAGCAGACAUCGACCAGCAGUGGGGACCGUGAUGCCAAUGGUCCAGGUGCCACAGUUUGAGUAGCAAGGAUCUAGAGACUGUUCUUAAUAUGCAAGAGACAACUCAACAUGGCCCUUGGUAAGGAGAUGACCUCACAAUGCUGUUGGACACAAGGGAUGUUUCCCCUGUACCCGACAGGUCAGUUAUAUUGAUCUGAUAAAACUACUACUAAAUAAUAUCAUCACUGCCAACAACAACAGUAUCAAGGCCGAUCCACAAAUUUAGUUAUUUGAAGGAACUGUCUGUGUAGAACCAAUGGGCAAAUCUUUGGAAAUUCUGUCGUAGGCACAUAGCUUUGACAUUUUCACCUAUUUCCUCUGGAGAAAUAUGAGGACAAACUAGCUGAUCACACCAUUCAGAUUUCCUUGACACCAGGAGCCUCGGCCAAAUAAGUUAUUUAAGUAGCUGAAAUUAUGUGAAUGAUAAGAUCUAAAAUUAGGUAAGAUCUAACAUCAUGAGGGUGGUUUGAUGCUUAGAGUGCUGUUGCGGUUAAAAUCAGUGACAGUACUGAGUUUCUAAUUUACUGUAGAAAAUGGAAAGCCAUCUCUUUAACUGGACAGUUCAGUUUCUGAUGCCCAAAGCAGGCAGAGGAUUUCCCUUGCACAGUUGGAUAGUGGAAUUUAUACUCAUUUUUACCUGAAAUUCUUGCAACUCACGGGUUUCAAUCUCGAAGACAAUACCUCUUCCCUUAAUUUGUUUGUCUGUUCAUUCUUUUCAUUGAUGUUUCGUUUUACUGGUGGUUAUUGAGCACCUGCAAUGUGCCAGUCACUAUUCUGGGUGAUGGACAUACAGCAGUGACGAAGACAAAGUUCCUUCUGUCAUGAAGCUUACAGUUUAGUGGAAGACCCAGACAAUAAACAAGCUCCAAAAUACAGCUCUUCAUGAAGCAACUCUGCUUGGCCUGGCAGGAAGGGAGUCCAUCGCUGCUUUACUGCGAUGCAACGCAAGCAUCCG